AUUGAACGCUGGCGGCAGGCUUAACACAUGCAGGUCGAGCGGAGAUGAGGUGCUUGCACCUUAUCUUAGCGGCGGACGGGUGAGUAAUGCUUAGGAAUCUGCCUAUUAGUGGGGGACAACAUUUCGAAAGGAAUGCUAAUACCGCAAACGUCCUACGGGAGAAAGCAGGGGAUCUUCGGACCUUGCGCUAAUAGAUGAGCCUAAGUCGGAUUAGCUAGUUGGUGGGGUAAAGGCCUACCAAGGCGACGAUCUGUAGCGGGUCUGAGAGGAUGAUCCGCCACACUGGGACUGAGACACGGCCCAGACUCCUACGGGAGGCAGCAGUGGGGAAUAUUGGACAAUGGGCGGAAGCCUGAUCCAGCCAUGCCGCGUGUGUGAAGAAGGCCUUAUGGUUGUAAAGCACUUUAAGCGAGGAGGAGGCUACUUUAGUUAAUACCUAGAGAUAGUGGACGUUACUCGCAGAAUAAGCACCGGCUAACUCUGUGCCAGCAGCCGCCGUAACAC
rnacentral:rRNA from 1 species